ensembl:lncRNA
UGAUCUUGUAAUACCGUCAUCAUCCGCUCAUCCGGGUCUUUAGGGGGCGCUAGAGAGACUUGCCCGCAAACAUCAGCGCUUGAACGGCGCGCGUCAGGACGUUCAGUAAAACGUGGACUGGAUAAGAAUCUGCGGAGUGAGAUUAAAAUAAAUUUCCCUUACUGACAAGCUAAACAGAGGUAUGUGAUAGAAUAAUAUCUGAAUAUUUAUUACGAUAUUGAAGUUAUACGUCGAAGUGUUGUUUGAAUUUUAAACAGAGCUGCUGCUUUGCUGAGUCCGGAUUCAAAUACUGAGCGGAAGCGGAAGCGCUCGAGUGUAAACAGACUCUGACACUAUGGACACAACUCUGAGGAGGAGCAUUUAACCUCACACACACACACACACACACACACACACACACACACAGGUACAAUGCUUAGAAAUAUGAUUAGUCUUUAAUUAUACGAUAUUUAUUGUGAUAUGAAAAAAGAGAGACAUAGUGCAGUUUGAGAGUCAGAAUGAAGAGCUGCAGUCAUGUUCUUAAUCUUUAGCGGAGCAUGUCCUUCACGUGUCCCGGCGCAGGCUCACGUCUGGAGGACACACUGACCUCCAUCUGUCUGCACACACAACACCUCACAGGAUUCCUCUCUGCUGCCAGCAGAAACUCACAGAGUCCAUCUGCAGAACACACUCGUGUCAUCACAGUCGAUACAUCACAUCAUCACACCACAGUCAGCAAGAACCGAGCCUUUCCCAAGCUUUCAGUCGACUGCUUCACUGAAGUGCCUGAAACAGCACACGCUAGUGACACCUGCUGGUCAAACUCUGUAAAUGCAACAAACUUCUGCCAAAACAGGCAUAAAAACAGCUUUUACAACCCCAAGGCAAAUACAUUCUUCAAAGUAUAAUAUAUUAAAUGGACUUUAAAUAUUAAAAUACCAUUGCAUAUGAAGUGUCUGUAUAUAUGUGAUUAAUUUGCAGGGCUUGUUUAGUUUGUUUUAUGGAGAGCUUGUCUGAACAGUCAGUAAGAGACUAUUAACUACUACUCAUCCUGUUAAUUACACAACAUUAGAAAUAUCUUCAAACUGAUUUCCCAAAGUUUUGAAGCUUCACGUCAGGCUGAUCUUAAAGCUGAUUGGCUGUAAUGUUCCAUCAGCUGACAGGAAGACGUUUUCUCCGUCCAGUGAAGAGAAAUGGAGUCCAGAUCUGUCCAGUUUCAAAGAUGAACUGCACUUUUAUAUUAUUGUCUUUAAACAUUUUGCCAGUUAUUUAAUCACGUUUUAUAUGUUUUUCUUGACAUCUCUGUACAUCUUACGUCUUCAGCAGCGCUUUUCUUGCUGGUUUUGUCUUCGCACUUAAAUAAAUUGUGAUAAUUGUUGUAUUUUGUCA